rnacentral:rRNA from 1 species
UGCGAAGGGGGCUAGCGUUGCUCGGAAUCACUGGGCGUAAAGCGCACGUAGGCGGCUUCUUAAGUCAGGGGUGAAAUCCUGGAGCUCAACUCCAGAACUGCCUUUGAUACUGAGGAGCUCGAGUCCGGGAGAGGUGAGUGGAACUCCGAGUGUAGAGGUGAAAUUCGUAGAUAUUCGGAAGAACACCAGUGGCGAAGGCGGCUCACUGGCCCGGUACUGACGCUGAGGUGCGAAAGCGUGGGGAGCAAACAGG